GGACAUGAGCUCAGUGGUAGAGUAUUUGCCUAACACGCAUAAAAUCCUGGGUCCAGUCCCCAGGGAUAUCCA
rnacentral:tRNA from 1 species